GAUGAACGCUAGCUACAGGCUUAACACAUGCACGUCGAGGGACCGGCGCACGGGUGAGUAACACGUAUCCAACCUGCCCUUUACUCGUGGAUAGCCUUUCGACCGAAAGAUUACUACCCGAUAUAACGGAUGGGGAUGCGUUCCAUUAGGUUGUUGGUGAGGUAACGGCCCACCAAGCCUUCGAUGGCUAGGGGUUCUGAGAGGAAGGUACGCCACAUUGAAACUGAGACACGGUCCAAACUAAGACGGGAGGCAGAAUGGAGGAAUAUUGGACAAUGGGCGUUAGCCUGAAACAGCAAAGUAUCGUGAAGGAUGAAGGCUUAUGGGUCGUAAACUUCUUUUAUAUAAGAAUAGGAAGUAUAUAAAUAAGGAGCGGCUAACUCCGUGCCAGCAGCCGCGGUAAUAC
rnacentral:rRNA from 1 species